rnacentral:rRNA from 1 species
UACGUAGGGGGCAAGCGUUGUCCGGAAUCAUUGGGCGUAAAGCGCGCGUAGGCGGCCCUGUAAGUCCGCUGUAAAAGUCAAAGGCUCAACCUUUGAAAGCCGGUGGAUACUGCAGGGCUAGAGUCCGGAAGAGGCGAGUGGAAUUCCUGGUGUAGCGGUGGAAUGCGCAGAUAUCAGGAGGAACACCAAUAGCGAAGGCAGCUCGCUGGGACGGUACUGACGCUAAGGCGCGAAAGCUAGGGGAGCAAACAGG